AUUUCUGCUCCAUGAUAUGUUAAAUAGCCGCAGUACUCUGACUGUGCAAAGGUAGCAUAAUCAGUUGGCUCCUAAUUAGAGUCUGGAAUGAAUGAACACAUGAAGAGUAGCUAUCUCAAAAGUAUUAUUUUGAAAUUGGUUGUGGGUGAAAAUCCCCACAACUCUCUAAAAGACGAGAAGACCCUAGAAACUUAUAUUAUUGUUUUGUUGGGGCGACAAAAUUACAUAUAACUGAUUUUAAAUGACGUGACGAAUUCAGAUAGCUAAAGUUACUCUAGGGAUAACAGCAUAAUAUUUUUUUGUUUGUGACCUCGAUGUUGGACUAGGUAAAGUGUUCUUUAGAAGGGAACAUAUAAGCUCUGUUCGAGCAUGUGAACCU
rnacentral:rRNA from 1 species